UCCAUAAGUAAUAAAAGGUCCGUUUAGGUCCCUUAACUUUAUUUAAAGUAUCGGUUUGAUCCUUUCUGUUAAUUUAAUUCAAAAAAAAUGUUAAGUUUAGGGACCAAACUAAUACUAAUUAAAUAAGAUAAGGGAUCAAAAUUUAACAUGUUUUUUGAAUUAAAUUUUUUUAAUAAAGUUUAGGGGCCAAAACAGACCUUUUAUUACUUAUGGGA
rfam:Medicago truncatula strain A17 chromosome 2, whole genome shotgun sequence.